rnacentral:rRNA from 1 species
GGAUCAUUACCGUGGGGCUUCGGCCCUGUCGUGAUAGAACCCUUGCCUUUUGAGUACCGUCCGUUUCCUCGGCAGGCCCGCCUGCCAAUGGGGACCCCCAAUAAACCCUUUUAUGUACCUGUAUCAGUCUGAAAAACAAACAAAAGUUAAAACUUUCAACAACGGAUCUCUUGGUUCUGGCAUCGAUGAAGAACGCAGCGAAAUGCGAUAAGUAGUGUGAAUUGCAGAAUUCAGUGAAUCAUCGAAUCUUUGAACGCACAUUGCGCCCUUUGGUAUUCCUUAGGGCAUGCCUGUUCGAGCGUCAUUUGAAACCUCAAGCUCAGCUUGGUGUUGGGUGUCUGUCCCCGCCUCCGCGGGGACUCGCCUCAAAAUCAUUGGCGGCCGGUACGUUGGCUUCGAGCGCAGCAGAAACGCGAACUCGAGGCCCGGCGGAUCGGCGACCAGAAGCCUCAUUCUUCACAGUUUGACCUCGGAUCCAGGUUAGGGA